rnacentral:rRNA from 1 species
AUUGAACGCUAGCGGCAUGCUUUACACAUGCAAGUCGAGCGAGAGGCGGACGGGUGAGUGAUGUCUGGGAAACUGACUUAUUGACGUGGAUAACUACGGGAAAAGUUUGCUCAUACCGCGUACCAUACGAUGUGCCCAAAUGGGAUUAGAUAGUUGGUGGGGUAAGGGUUCACCUAGCCGACGAUCCCUAGCUGGUCUGAGAGGAUGACCAGCCACUCUGGGACUGAGACACGGUCCAGACUCCUACGGGAGGCAGCCGGGGGGAAUAUUGCACAAUGGGGGCAAGUCUGAUGCAGCCAUGCCGCGUGUGUGAAGAAGGCCUUCGGGUUGUAAAGCACUUUCAGCGAGGAGGCGUUACUCGCAGAAGAAGCACGGGCUAACUCCGUGCCAGCAGCCGCGGUAAUUC